rnacentral:rRNA from 1 species
UACAGAGGGUGCGAGCGUUGUCCGGAAUCACUGGGCGUAAAGGGCGCGUAGGUGGCCUGAUAAGUAGGGGGUGAAAUCUCGAGGCUCAACUUCGAGGCUGCCUCCUAAACUGUCAGGCUUGAGCAGAGUAGAGGCAGGUGGAAUUCCCGGUGUAGCGGUGAAAUGCGCAGAUAUCAGGAGGAACACCAAUUGCGAAGGCAGCUCGCUGGAACGUAACUGACGCUGAGACGCGAAAGCGUGGGGAGCAAACAGG